rnacentral:ncRNA from 2 species
AUACUAUCUGUCGCGGCUGGUGGUUCUGUCAUGUGCAGAACUGAAAAGGGAAUCUGGUGCAAAUCCAGAACUGACGCGCAGCGGUAAAAGAGAACAAAGGUUGAGUCAACACUGCACUAAAUUCAUUCAUGUGUGGGAAGUUAAACCGGAGGCGAUGAGUAAAUCAGCGUUUACACAUCAUGCUCUUGAGUCCGAAGACCUGCCAGUGACCGAAGAAUGAU